rnacentral:rRNA from 1 species
CGCGAUGGAGGGACGGAGAAGGCUAGGCCAGCUUGGCGUUGGUUGUCCAAGUUUAAGGUGGUAGGCUGGAAUCUUAGGUAAAUCCGGGAUUCUAAGGCCAGAGCUGAUGACGAGUGUUCUUUUAGAACACGAAGUGGUUGAUGCCAUGCUUCCAAGAAAAGCUUCUAAGCUUCAGGUAACCAGGAACCGUACCCCAAACCGACACAGGUGGUUGGGUAGAGAAUACCAAGGCGCUUGAGAGAACUUGGGUGAAGGAACUAGGCAAAAUGGCACCGUAACUUCGGGAGAAGGUGCGCCGGUGAGGGUGAAGCAUUUACUGCGUAAGCCCACGUCGGUCGAAGAUACCAGGCCGCUGCGACUGUUUAUUAAAAACACAGCACUCUGCAAACACGAAAGUGGACGUGUAGGGUGUGACGCCUGCCCGGUGCCGGAAGGUUAAUUGAUGGGGUUAGCUAACGCGAAGCUCUUGAUCGAAGCCCCGGUAAACGGCGGCCGUAACAAUAACGGUCCUAAGGUAGCGAAAUUCCUUGUCGGGUAAGUUCCGACCUGCACGAAUGGCGUAACGAUGGCGGCGCUGUCUCCACCCGAGACUCAGUGAAAUUGAAAUCGCUGUGAAGAUGCAGUGUAUCCGCGGCUAGACGGAAAGACCCCGUGAACCUUUACUAUAGCUUUGCACUGGACUUUGAAUUUGCUUGUGUAGGAUAGGUGGGAGGCUUUGAAGCGUGGACGCCAGUUCGCGUGGAGCCAUCCUUGAAAUACCACCCUGGCAACUUUGAGGUUCUAACUCAGGUCCGUUAUCCGGAUCGAGGACAGUGUAUGGUGGGUAGUUUGACUGGGGCGGUCUCCUCCUAAAGAGUAACGGAGGAGUACGAAGGUGCGCUCAGACCGGUCGGAAAUCGGUCGUAGAGUAUAAAGGCAAAAGCGCGCUUGACUGCGAGACAGACACGUCGAGCAGGUACGAAAGUAGGUCUUAGUGAUCCGGUGGUUCUGUAUGGAAGGGCCAUCGCUCAACGGAUAAAAGGUACUCCGGGGAUAACAGGCUGAUACCGCCCAAGAGUUCAUAUCGACGGCGGUGUUUGGCACCUCGAUGUCGGCUCAUCACAUCCUGGGGCUGAAGCCGGUCCCAAGGGUAUGGCUGUUCGCCAUUUAAAGUGGUACGCGAGCUGGGUUUAGAACGUCGUGAGACAGUUCGGUCCCUAUCUGCCGUGGACGUUUGAGAUUUGAGAGGGGCUGCUCCUAGUACGAGAGGACCGGAGUGGACGAACCUCUGGUGUUCCGGUUGUCACGCCAGUGGCAUUGCCGGGUAGCUAUGUUCGGAAUAGAUAACCGCUGAAAGCAUCUAAGCGGGAAACUAGCCUCAAGAUGAGAUAUCACUGGAACCUUGAGUUCCCUGAAGGGCCGUCGAAGACUACGACGUUGAUAGGUUGGGUGUGUAAGCGCUGUGAGGCGUUGAGCUAACCAAUACUAAUUGCCCGUGAGGCUUGACCAA